GUUUUCGUAUCUUGCACUUUGUUUCCGUAGAAGCAUAACUAGUCGCUCUCGUCCGUCGCUGCCACACACCCACAGGACGAGGUGAACACAGACGCACAGACAGACGCACAGACAGACAUACAGACAGAUAGACAGACACACUAUUGUUUCCGUAGGAGUCUCGGACAUCGUAACCGAAGUCGACUGCAGCAGUGAGGGUGAGGGUGGCUUCAUCAUUAACAUCAUCAGGUGGGGCAUGUCACACCGUUCAGCCUUUUUUGCAAACGCACCUCUGGCUGUUUUUCACACAUGCCCUGCACUUGGGUCUACGCUGCUUGAUCUCUCACACUGGUUGCAUAUUAUUGGCGUCCAUCUUCGACGUAGUUAAUGGCUUUACACUGUUGUACAAGAAGCGGCAACCCCUGGAUUGAGAAAGGAGCGAAGCACUGCUUGUGCAUGGCAUGCAGCGGACGUUCCGCCAUGGCCGCCCUCUGUGAUGACAACUGAGAACUCAAACUGGGGAGAUGUAGGAAGCUUCGUAAAUUCGACGUGAACUCAUGUAAUAUAACAAAAUUGCAUUCACGAGUUAUGUGGGACUGUAUGAGCGCUUGCAAGACGUUAGGGAAAAAUUGUGCAAAAUUAGAAUUGCUCUACAAGGGCUUCGGCGUGAGAAGCAAACUGCUAUUGUUAGAUAAAAACCAACGUGCUAGGAUUGCAAUGUGGCCACAGCUUUCAUCCUUUUUCUCGAAUUGAUUGGUAAACUGUUCACUGUUAUGCGUC